rnacentral:rRNA from 1 species
UACGAAGGGGCUAGCGUUGCUCGGAAUUACUGGGCGUAAAGCGCACGUAGGCGGCUUUCUAAGUCGGGGGUGAAAUCCUGGAGCUCAACUCCAGAACUGCCUUUGAUACUGGCGAGCUUGAGUUCGGGAGAGGUGAGUGGAACUGCGAGUGUAGAGGUGAAAUUCGUAGAUAUUCGCAAGAACACCAGUGGCGAAGGCGGACUCACUGGCCCGAUACUGACGCUGAGGUGCGAAAGCGUGGGGAG